rnacentral:rRNA from 1 species
UAAUACAGAGGGUGCAAGCGUUAAUCGGAAUUACUGGGCGUAAAGGGUGCGUAGGUGGUUUUUUAAGUCAGAUGUGAAAUCCCUGGGCUCAACCUAGGAAUUGCAUUUGAUACUGAAUAACUUGAGUAUGGUAGAGGGAAGUGGAAUUUCCAGUGUAGCGGUGAAAUGCGUAGAUAUUGGAAGGAACAUCAGUGGCGAAGGCGACUUCCUGGACCAUUACUGACACUGAGGCACGAAAGCGUGGGGAGCGAACAGGAUUAGAUACCCUGGUAGUCCACGCCGUAAACGAUGAGAACUAGAUGUUAGGGGGCUUAGACCUCUUAGUAUCGCAGCAAACGCGUUAAGUUCUCCGCCUGGGGAGUACGGCCGCAAGGUUA